rnacentral:rRNA from 1 species
UACGGAGGGUGCAAGCGUUACUCGGAAUUAUUGGGCGUAAAGCGCAUGUAGGCGGUUCGGUAAGUCUGGCGUGAAAGCCCACGACUCAAUCGUGGAAGUGCACUGGAUACUGCCAAACUAGAGGAUAGGAGGGGUGAGCGGAAUUCCUGGUGUAGAGGUGAAAUUCGUAGAUAUCAGGAGGAACAACGGUGGCGAAGGCGGCUCACUGGACUAUAUCUGACGCUAAAGUGCGAAAGCGUGGGGAGCAAACAGG